rnacentral:rRNA from 1 species
CCCUUAGAUGUCCUGGGCCGCACGCGCGCUACACUGAUGCAUGCAACGAGUUUAUAACCUUGGCCUGAAAGGUCUGGGUAAUCUUUUGAACGUGCAUCGUGAUAGGGAUAGAUUAUUGCAAUUGUUAAUCUUGAACGAGGAAUUCCUAGUAAACGCGAGUCAUCAGCUCGCAUUGAUUACGUCCCUGCCCUUUGUACACACCGCCCGUCGCACCUACCGAUCGAAUGGUUCGGUGAAGAUCUCGGACUUCGAUAUUUAUUCUUUAUUGAGUUUAUAUUGUGGGAAGUUAUCUAAACCUCAUCAUUUAGAGGAAGGUGAAGUCGUAACA